UCUCAAAAAACAAGAAAUUCAUUUCAAAUAUAAAAGAGAGAGGAUGAAGAGCAGGUUCAGAGCGCGCAGAAGAAAAGGCAGUGAAUAUAAACACCUGGCAACAGAAAAUACCCAAACUGAAGCUCAGAAGGAAAGGUGCCAAAGAAGAAAAAAUGAGCAGAGCUCUGGAGACCAUGAACAAGGUGCACAAGGAACCAGGAGCCCAGAUGAACGCAAAGACAGGAGACGCGUCUACAACAAGGCCAGACAUGUUACAAAUGUGCUGAAAGCCACACAUCACAGAUGACGAAGCAAAUGAGCUGAAAGCCGACAUCACAGAUGACGAAGCUCAGUGAACCCUAAGCAGGAUAAACAGAAAGAAAAUCAUACCAAACAGCACAUAAUCAAGCUGCUGAAAAAUCAGCAACAAAAUGGAAACUCUAAAAGCAACCCGAGAAAAGAGACAUGUUACCCUAGGGUCAAAGGGCAGGCAUAGGGAUGACAGACCCCGCAAGG
rnacentral:lncRNA from 10 species